UCAUCGGUGGUUCAGUGGUAGAAUGUUCGCCUGCCACGCGGGUGGCCCGUGUUCGCUUCCCGGCCAAUGCA
rnacentral:tRNA from 1 species